AGCCUUAUAGUCAACUAUGAUUUUAAAUUGCAAAUUUAAAGGUAAAAAUAAUUUUUAAGGCUU
rnacentral:tRNA from 1 species